rnacentral:lncRNA from 1 species
CAAAGAACAUUGUAAGUAAAUUACAAUAAGAAGUGGGAGAGUUAUUGAGGCCGAAGUCGGUGAAUAUCUAGAAAAAGAAAGAGUCGUGGUUGAAACACAAGAGGGAGAUAUAAAAGAAAGCGAGGAGGAGGUAGAAGAACAAAAUAACAAGGAAACAUUAGUUGAAAAUAAAAAAAUAAGAGAAUGAGAAAAAAGUCAGUGGUGAGCGAAAAUAGAAAAAUCUA